rnacentral:rRNA from 1 species
UACAUAGGGUGUAAGCGUUGUCCGGAAUUAUUGGGCGAAAAGAGCUCGUAGGUGGUCGAUCACGUCGGAUGUGAAAUUCUGAGGCUUAACCUCGGACCUGCAUUCGAUACGGGUUGACUAGAGUGUGGUAGGGGAGACUGGAAUUCCUGGUGUAGCGGUGGAAUGCGCAGAUAUCAGGAGGAACACCGAUGGCGAAGGCAGGUCUCUGGGCCAUUACUGACACUGAGGGGCGAAAGCGUGGGGAGCGAACAGGAUUAGAUACCCUGGUAGUCCACGCCGUAAACGGUGGGCGCUAGUUGUGGGAACCUUCCACGGUUUCUGCGACGCAGCUAACGCAUUAAGCGCCCCGCCUGGGGAGUACGGUCGCAAGACUAAAACUCAAAGAAAUUGACGGGGCCCCGCACAAGCAGCGGAGCAUGCGGCUUAAUUCGACGCAACGCGAAGAACCUUACCAAGGCUUGACAUAUACAGGAAUACGGCAGAGAUGCCGUAGCCGCAAGGUCUGUAUACAGGUGGUGCAUGGUUGUCGUCAGCUCGUGUCGUGAGAUGUUGGGUUAAGUCCCGCAACGAGCGCAACCCUCGUCCUGUGUUACCAGCAUUUAGUUGGGGACUCACAGGAGACUGCCGGGGUCAACUCGGAGGAAGGUGGGGAUGACGUCAAAUCAUCAUGCCCCUUAUGUCUUGGGCUGCACGCAUGCUACAAUGGCUGGUACAAAGGGCUGCGAUACCGCGAGGUGGAGCGAAUCCCAAAAAGCCAGUCUCAGUUCGGAUUGGGGUCUGCAACUCGACCCCAUGAAGUCGGAGUUGCUAGUAAUCGUAGAUCAGCAACGCUACGGUGAAUACGUUCCCGGGGCU